AGGACCCCCAAACGAACCCGUAGCCUCACAUCCAGUCGUGCUAACCCUAUCCGCGCCUCCCCCAAUUUCCGUCGCCGCCGCUCGACCUCGGGGUCUCCAUCCUCGGACCCUUCCCUACCGCCACCGGUGCCCAUAGCCCCGAGCUCCCGGCCCCCUCCGUCGUCUGCCUUCCCCGUCCCCUUCGCUGCCACCACAUGGGCAUCUUCGCUGGUCUGAGUCCCCGCUGAUGCCGGUGAGCAUAUCCCAGAUCCCCUGACCCCAUCCGCUGCAAGCCUUCCCCGGUGUCGCAGCCGCCAACACCUCCGUCCGCCGGGACCUUCACCGACCAUGCCAACACCCUCCUCUUCCUUCUCUCAGGAAAGGAUCUCAUGUCCAACAAGCUCGGCCACACCUCCACCAAUGGUGGAACCUCUGAUGAAUGGUUUCUGCAAAGCUCGUCUACUCGUCACCAACAGCAACGCUCAUCCUCGGCGACCACAUAAUGAACUUUUUCUGCAGUACAUUGUAUGGAGUUUGGGUAUGAAGCCCAUGAAUAUCCCUGACCAGCGGAGUGUUCCAAGUAGAAACGAAAAGUUGUUCCGUUUCUAUCUUUAGUCGCUCUGUUUGCAAUGUUACCACCAAUAUGUCCCGGGCUGAAGUUCACACCACUUUCCUAGAGGAUCUUGCAGAGGAUUACCAUGGGGACACUUAUCACUUGAUUGUCAGAAACUGUAACCAUUUCACAGCUGACGUCUGCAAGCACUUCACGGGAAAGCCAACUCCUGGAUGGGUGAAUCGACUUGCCAGAUUAGCACUAGGUUCCAUCCGCAACUCUGUGCUGACUGAAAUCAUCAAGGUUUCAGCGGUUAGAGGUGAAACUGCACACCUUGAAUUCUCUGCCGAGAACCACAACCACCAGCAUGCAGCGCAGGCAAUUGGUGGAGAAUGGAUGGUUGCCCACUUCACGUAAAGCAGAUAGCGAAUGGUGGGUGGAAGGCUACCUCACAGGGAACCAGGGCCACGACUUGCAGUGGGCAACCGGUGGCGAAUGGAGGGCUUCUUCGCCGGGUACAUCAACUAUUAGGUACUUACCCAACUGGUGCACUUGGAUGUGAUGGCUUUGCAGUGUUUAUGGACCAACCAACCUGUAAUCAUGGAUACUACAUGUCAUGUAGACCAUUUGGUGUUUCGGAGCUUGCACUUUGUGAAUGUAGAUAUGAACUUGUGUGUUCUAGACCAUCUUAGUUGAAGUCUGUCAUACUAGCAAAUAGUCCCCAUCUUUUUGUAACUUGUGUGUUCUGGAUGAUUGUUAAGAUGGCCAAAACUAUGCUUUGUCAAGAUUGAUGUGUUUUUCUACUUGUGUUCAAUGUAUAUACAUGAUUCUGAACAUAUUUCAUUGCGGUACAGUAUGUGUUCA